rnacentral:misc_RNA from 1 species
AAAGGCAGAAGAGCAGGAGCAGAAGCAGGGACAGAAGAUGAGAGUUAUGGUAGCAGUUGAUGAGAGUGAGGAGAGCUUCUAUGCUCUGCAGUGGACUCUUGAUAAUCUUUCAAAUGGUAUCACAGCAAAAAAUGAACCCAGCAUGGAAUCUGGCAUGCUCUGUCUUGUUCAUGUUCAACAGCCUUUUCACCCCGCCGUCUACCCUCUUGGUCCCGGCGGAGCAGCUUUCUAUACGCCGCCUGCAGUGAUGGAAUCCGUAAAGAAAGGCCAGGAGGGAAACUCUGUAGCAAUAGUCUCCCGUGGAGCAAAGAUGUGCAGUGAAAAGAUGAUCAAAUCAGAAACUCUGAUCCUUGAAGGGGAUCCAAAGGACAUGAUCUGUCAGGCUAUAGAACAAAUGCAUGUUGAUCUCCUCGUCGUAGGCAGCCGCGGCCUAGGCAAAAUUAAGAGGGCCUUCUUAGGAAGUGUAAGCGACUACUGUGCACAUCAUGCAAAAUGUCCCAUCCUUAUAGUGAAGCCACCCAAGGAGACCACCAGCAAGCAGUGAAUAUUAAAUAUUUCUGGCCAAUUACCAUAAAUAAAGUCUAAGCACUGAGCCAGG